AAAAGAUUUGGAUUAAAAUAUAUUGUAAUGAUAGUUAAGUUUUGAUGUAUGCUUAACAUCCAGCUGCAAAUAUUACAUACAUAUUCAGGAUGAUAACAGGUACAUUAAACAUGCAUAUGAGGUAGCUGAUAAUCAGUUAUAACCUACCAGAUAAUUUAUUGAUGUUUAACUCACCGUUACCAUACUUUUAAGAUAAAGAAC
rnacentral:lncRNA from 1 species